CUGGCACUGAUUCAUGAAGUCAAUUUAUGUAAUGUUCUAAAUCCUUUGUGGUCAUUUCAAUCAUGGUCAUAGCAUCUUCACCAGGAGUAGAUUCCAUCUCAA